GCCGAUGUGGCGAAAUUGGCAGACGCGCUACAUUCAGGGUGUAGUGCCAGUAAUGGCGUGUGGGUUCGAAUCCCACCAUCGGCA
rnacentral:tRNA from 1 species